AGUGAACGCUGGCGGUAGGCCUAACACAUGCAAGUCGAACGGCAGCACAGGAGAGCUUGCUCUCUGGGUGGCGAGUGGCGGACGGGUGAGGAAUACAUCGGAAUCUACUUUUUCGUGGGGGAUAACGUAGGGAAACUUACGCUAAUACCGCAUACGACCUACGGGUGAAAGCAGGGGAUCUUCUGCCCUUGCGCGAUUGAAUGAGCCGAUGUCGGAUUAGCUAGUUGGCGGGGUAAAGGCCCAACAAGGCGACGAGCCGUAGCUGGUCUGAGAGGAUGAUCAGCCACACGGGAACUGAGUCACGGUCCAGUCUCCUACGGGAGUCAGCAGUGGGGAAGAUUGGACUAUGGGCGCAAGCCUGCUCCAGCCAUACAGCGUGGGUGAAGAAGGCAUUCGGGUUGUAAAGCCCUUUUGUUGGGAAAGAAAUCCAGCUGGUUAAGACCUGGUUGGGAUGACGGUACCCAAAGAAUAAGCACCGGCUAACUUCGUGCCAGCAGCCGCCGUAA
rnacentral:rRNA from 1 species